AGUCGAGCGAUGAAGUUUCCUUCGGGAAACGGAUUAGCGGCGGACGGGUGAGUAACACGUGGGUAACCUGCCUCAUAGAGUGGAAUAGCCUUCCGAAAGGAAGAUUAAUACCGCAUAAUGUUGAAAGAUGGCAUCAUCAUUCAACCAAAGGAGCAAUCCGCUAUGAGAUGGACCCGCGGCGCAUUAGCUAGUUGGUGGGGUAACGGCCUACCAAGGCGACGAUGCGUAGCCGACCUGAGAGGGUGAUCGGCCACAUUGGGACUGAGACACGGCCCAGACUCCUACGGGAGGCAGCAGUGGGGAAUAUUGCACAAUGGGGGAAACCCUGAUGCAGCAACGCCGCGUGAGUGAUGAAGGUUUUCGGAUCGUAAAGCUCUGUCUUUGGGGAAGAUAAUGACGGUACCCAAGGAGGAAGCCACGGCUAACUACGUGCCAGCAGCCGCGGUAAUACGUAGGUGGCGAGCGUUAUCCGGAUUUACUGGGCGUAAAGGGAGCGUAGGCGGAUGAUUAAGUGGGAUGUGAAAUACCCGGGCUCAACUUGGGUGCUGCAUUCCAAACUGGUUAUCUAGAGUGCAGGAGAGGAGAGUGGAAUUCCUAGUGUAGCGGUGAAAUGCGUAGAGAUUAGGAAGAACACCAGUGGCGAAGGCGACUCUCUGGACUGUAACUGACGCUG
rnacentral:rRNA from 1 species